AGCUCGUUUCUGUUUCAUUGUUAAGCAGAGAAAAAUAAUGUUUUAAAUGUGAUCGUAUAACUUCCUGAUGCUCUCCUUGUUAGUUUUAUAGUACACUUGUCGGAUCAUCCUGAAGAAGAAACGCAAUCAGUUUCGAAAUAUAGAUGUAAAUGA